rnacentral:tRNA from 1 species
GUCUGGCUAGCUCAGUUGGUAGAGCAUAUGUCUCUUGAUCUCAAGUUCAUGAGUUCAAGCCCCAUGUUGGGUG